UACGUAGGGUGCAAGCGUUUAAUCGGAAUUACUGGGCGUAAAGCGUGCGCAGGCGGUUAUAUAAGACAGUUGUGAAAUCCCCGGGCUCAACCUGGGAACUGCAUCUGUGACUGUAUAGCUAGAGUACGGUAGAGGGGGGAUGGAAUUCCGCGUGUAGCAGUGAAAUGCGUAGAUAUGCGGAGGAACACCGAUGGCGAAGGCAAUCCCCUGGACCUGUACUGACGCUCAUGCACGAAAAGCGUGGGGAGCAAACAGG
rnacentral:rRNA from 1 species